rnacentral:lncRNA from 1 species
CUCCCUUCCAUUUCUCUUGGGUUAAGUUCUUUGUUGCAAAGUUGAUGUCUGAAUUUCUAUGUGGGGUAUUGGCUGGACCAAUUAAUGAACAAUGAUUGUGAAAAUUAAUUUUUUGUUUGUCUUAUAAGUAGUAGAAUUUAAAUAUAUUAUGAUAAUUAUAUAUGCAUGUUUCUCUCUUUAUGUAGAUGGAGAAUAAUGGUGGCUUCAAUGUCUUCGUCAAUCCCAAUGUGGACUACGCAUUCAUAGUGGCGCUACUUAUGAUUGUUAAGGACAUGAAUUGUUGUGAUGAGCCCCAGAAUAGUACAAAUACAAAUAAAACUAUUAGUGCCCUAAAAAUAAUUUCAUUAUCUUUUUGAAGUAGCUAAAUAAAUAUAUUGAAUAAGAAAAUAUAAAUAAAAGUGAGGAAAUAAGUUUGGAGUCCUCCCUAAUGUACUUAUAUAGAUGUCUGUUGUAUUAUGUUGUAUAUGGCUAUUUCUUUAUCUUUUAUUAUAUCAAUGACAGUAAAGUUAAUGGUAACUUAUAUAGAUCCGAAAUGUGUGGGAGAAGUUUUUUUUACCUUAUCUCUUGUAAUAGCAAAACCCAAACGACACAAUUUUGUAGGCAAAACAAAAAAAAAAACAUUCAUGGUAUAGGAAAAACUUAUCUUAAAGUUAGUUAUAUCAACAAUUACCAAGUUGAUAUGUUAUGUAAAUAACUUACUCACGAAUUAUUCUUUGAAUAAUAACUUAGUUAUAGGUAAGUUACCAUUGAAUAAAUUUGUGAAUAACUUCGUAGAUCAAUGCAUGCAUGGAUAACUUAUCUAUAGAAUUUCUUUUAGCUAAAUCAUGCAUGGACUUUUUUUUAUGAAUAAAUCCAUAAGAAAUAGUAAGAAUAUUUUUCGUCUUCCAAGUCAUGCCACUCUAUACUUCUAUAGUUACAAAUGUGAAAGAAAUUUUAUCUCAACAUUUAAAUAUCAUAUCUCAAAUAUUCAACGUUUAGUUCAAACAUCCAUAUGCAACACACUGAAAAAAAAAAGUUUUAAGGGGAUUUAUUUUUACAUUAUUCAGGGUUAAAACCUCUAUUAAGUCAUUUAUCCAGGGUUGCAGUUUCCCCGCUAAACCAUUCUUGGGAAACGUGUUCAUCGGGGUUCUUUUAAACCUUAGGAAAAGUCUUUCACAAUCCAUGUUCAUGGGUUUAAGAACCUCCGUAAAAUAUCAUGAGUUUUCAAAACCUUCGUAAAAUAUCAUUAGUUUCAAAAUUUUCGUAAAAUGACUUGCCAUUUGAUAUAACCUUCAACCUCAUUUUCCAUCAUCUUUAACAAUUCUCCGGACUUCUCUCUUCCACUUUAGAUACACUGCUCUCCAGCACAUGCUCAAUGGCCGCCAACGACAGUCCUAGUAAGGAAUCACAAUUCAGCCACACUUAUGUCUAAGGAGAAGAAACAUUAAAUAAGGCAUUGUCUUCUUCGAACUCCAAUAUUGUUCUUCCCCAACUUGGAUCACAAGCCACUAUUAUCUAACACAGCAACAACUGAUGUUUAUCACUGUUUUAUAUAUCCUAAAGAAUUGCAUUAUCUAUCAAAUGUGGGCUUCAAAACCAUGUGUGUUCUUGACUAACAAUUGCAAGAACAUAUUGCAAGAAGAAAUUAACUUUAUUACUUCUCACUUUUACAGUGAAUUAAUUAUUAGAUGUAUUUUAAAAUAAAGGCCUUAAUUUAAAAUAUUUCAAAAUUAUGAGAAUUAAAUAUUAACAAUUAUAACUAAAACUAAAAUUGCACAUAAAAUAUACGUACAUCAAAAGUUAAAACAAAAUAAGUCAGAUUUUUUGAAGUAUGAGCUCGUAACAAAAAAAAACUAGGAAUUAUAUAAACCAAAUAAUCAAUCAUAAGAUAUAUGCAAAUAUUGUUAAAAUACUUAUUAUCCAAGAUUAGUUGUUGAAAUACUUAUUAUCCAAGGUUUUUUUGUAGAUUUUUUAAAAUAAAUUUUUGAAACUUGAGAAAACUUAUUUGUAAUGGAAAGUUACACUUUCAAAAUUUUAGAGAAUUUAGUUAUAAAGUAUAUAAAAUAUAUUUAAACUAUGUAGUUUUAAUUAUUUAUUUAUAAAUAGAUUUAAUUAUAUUUAUUUAUUCAAGUUUGAAAAAUAUGGAGUGUUUUAUUGAGGUUCUAUAAUAAAUCUUUGAAAUUUAACGAAGGUUAAAAAAACUCUGUUAUUUUGUUGGGAUUUUAGAAUAAACCUUUGAAACUUAACAAAGGUUAAAAGGACUUUAAUUUACUGAGGUUGUAGAAUAAACCUUUGAAACUUACUGAAAGUUAAAAAAAUCCUCUGUUAUUUUGCCGAGGUUUUAGAAUAAACCUUUGAAAUUUAAUGAAGGUUAAAAAAACCUCCGUUAUUUUGUUGAGAUUUUAUAAUAAACCUUUGAAAUUUAACCAAGGUUAAAAAACCUCUGUUAUAUUGCUGAGGUUUUAAAAUAAACCUUUUGAAUUUAAUGAAGGUUAAAAAAAAAUUCGUUAUUUUGUUGAGAUUUUAAAAUAAACCUUUGAAAUUUAAUGAAGGUUAAAAAUGUAAAACAUGGAAGCUUUGAUGAUCCAAAUCAAAUCUGAGUGAAGGGUUGAUGCUUUGGUGUUUUGGUUGGAGCUUAGUUCUAGGGUGUUUAGAAUUCUUGUACAGAUCAUUCUUGUCCUAUGCACAAAGCUAAAUCAAUCUAUGUUAAAAGAGAAAAAUGUUUUUCUAAGCAAAGAGAAAAACAACCGGUUGAAAUCACGAUAUAAUCAGUUGUUUUACACUUAGCCUGAUUGAAGGUUUUCAAUACUGUUUUUGACUUGGUUGACUAACUGUCAUAACCAAUUCAACCGGUUAAAACGACAUUUCAACCGGUUGAUUGUCACGUUUCAUAACAUCUUUUUCAAAAACCUGUUGAAUCUGUUUUCAGUUCGGAAGAUUUGUAUAAGAGUUAAUCUUGUCAACCUGAUUCUAGUGUUCUUGGUCCUUGUUGUAAGAACAAUAUAUAUAGCUUACAUAAUAGUGUUAAUGAUUAUAGUCUNNNNNNNNNNNNNNNNNNNNNNNNNNNNNNNNNNNNNNNNNNNNNNNNNNNNNNNNNNNNNNNNNNNNNNNNNNNNNNNNNNNNNNNNNNNNNNNNNNNNNNNNNNNNNNNNNNNNNNNNNNNNNNNNNNNNNNNNNNNNNNNNNNNNNNNNNNNNNNNNNNNNNNNNNNNNNNNNNNNNNNNNNNNNNNNNNNNNNNNNNNNNNNNNNNNNNNNNNNNNNNNNNNNNNNNNNNNNNNNNNNNNNNNNNNNNNNNNNNNNNNNNNNNNNNNNNNNNNNNNNNNNNNNNNNNNNNNNNNNNNNNNNNNNNNNNNNNNNNNNNNNNNNNNNNNNNNNNNNNNNNNNNNNNNNNNNNNNNNNNNNNNNNNNNNNNNNNNNNNNNNNNNNNNNNNNNNNNNNNNNNNNNNNNNNNNNNNNNNNNNNNNNNNNNNNNNNNNNNNNNNNNNNNNNNNNNNNNNNNNNNNNNNNNNNNNNNNNNNNNNNNNNNNNNNNNNNNNNNNNNNNNNNNNNNNNNNNNNNNNNNNNNNNNNNNNNNNNNNNNNNNNNNNNNNNNNNNNNNNNNNNNNNNNNNNNNNNNNNNNNNNNNNNNNNNNNNNNNNNNNNNNNNNNNNNNNNNNNNNNNNNNNNNNNNNNNNNNNNNNNNNNNNNNNNNNNNNNNNNNNNNNNNNNNNNNNNNNNNNNNNNNNNNNNNNNNNNNNNNNNNNNNNNNNNNNNNNNNNNNNNNNNNNNNNNNNNNNNNNNNNNNNNNNNNNNNNNNNNNNNNNNNNNNNNNNNNNNNNNNNNNNNNNNNNNNNNNNNNNNNNNNNNNNNNNNNNNNNNNNNNNNNNNNNNNNNNNNNNNNNNNNNNNNNNNNNNNNNNNNNNNNNNNNNNNNNNNNNNNNNNNNNNNNNNNNNNNNNNNNNNNNNNNNNNNNNNNNNNNNNNNNNNNNNNNNNNNNNNNNNNNNNNNNNNNNNNNNNNNNNNNNNNNNNNNNNNNNNNNNNNNNNNNNNNNNNNNNNNNNNNNNNNNNNNNNNNNNNNNNNNNNNNNNNNNNNNNNNNNNNNNNNNNNNNNNNNNNNNNNNNNNNNNNNNNNNNNNNNNNNNNNNNNNNNNNNNNNNNNNNNNNNNAGUUGGUAGUGUAGCACAGGUGUAGUGACAAUAUAAUAGUUGUGUAUCUCUUCUCUCUCUCUCUCUCUCUCUCUCUCUCUCUCUCUCUCUCACUCCUUAUAAACUGUUUGAUUUUAUUUUGUAUUGAUGCUGUCAUAAAAAACCGAUUAAAACGAAGUUUCAACCGAUUGAUAUUCUGCAAACAGUUUCAAUUACCUUGUUUGAUUGGCUUCCUUGAUUACUCUUCUGUGAUUGUUGUUAAAACUUCAUUCUUAUCCAAUCUUUUCAAAAAUCUUUUGACAAACAAUUCACCCCCCUCUUGUUUAGGCCAUUAAUUCUAACAAAAAAAACCUUCGUUAUUUUGUUGGUGUUUUAGACCAACCUUUGUAACUUAAUGAAGGUUAAAAAACCUUCGUUAAUUAAAUCACAUCCUAGGGUUAUAUUAACCUCCACUAAAUAACCUCCGUUAAAAUCCUUUUUUUCUUGUAGUGACAACAACAUUUAACUUCAAACUAUAUUUUAACUUAAAACUCUAUAAAUUACUAAAUGUUAAGAGUGUGUAACUUGACAGAGGGUGUUAACAAAAUGUUUUCCUAUCGAAAAUCACAACCCCUCACACAAAGUCCACCCCCGAUGUAUGAAUGGGAUGAGGAUGCAUGAUCCACUCAUCAUAUUUCGAUAGGCAUCUUGGAGGGUGUGGAGUGGUGUGGCUCGAACUUCCCAUCCUCCUUAUUGCUCUCUCAUGGUAGGAAUUCACAUAGAAUUCUCUCAUUAUGCUCUCGUUGAAAGUGUGUUGAGUUGUACCAACUUAUUCAAUCUUCCGCUCUUUAAUUUUAAGACAAACCACUCAUAUUUACCUUACUGAACUCUCACCCAUCUUUGAUAUGAGUUUCUUCUACAUAUUUGCUUUAAAUGAUACUCAAGAAGUGGAGGGUAGAAGAUAUCCCCAUCAUAAAGAAGUUAUUCAUUAUUUCGAUUGUCAGCACUAGAAUAAGAGAUCCCUCUCAAAAGAAUCCAUUGCCUUUUAGUAACAUUGUUGGAGUCAAUCACUCUUGAUACAACCCAAUUCAAUAAGCAGAUGACUAAGGACACCACGAAAAUUUCACAAUUAGGUUAGUCAUCUCAACAUCCAAGACAAGACCGUACCAAACAUCAGAAGGACCUCAGCAGAAGAAAAACUGGACAUAGACCAGAGCAUCAAAUGUUGUUUCUUCUUGUCGUUUUACAAGACAAGUUUAUGUAAAUAAUUUUGGCUCUUUCUAGGGGUUCAAAUAGAAAAAUAAGCUAGAGUAGGGUGUACUUAGUAUAAAUUGGGCUUGUGCCAAAGCCCACCUUAACCUAGCCUCUAGAAACACAUCCAUGUGCCACCCAUGUGCUCACCUUUGACCUAGAUUCUAGAAGACUCCCCAUGUGCUCACAUUUGACCUAGUUUCUAGAUGCUUGUAGUCAUUUAUACCCCUACCGUUCCUCUCUUCCUCUUCAAGGCACUUAUCUCUAUAAAUAGGGUGUCUCCCCUCUUGUAAAGAACACAUUGAAUUUUGAAUAGAAAAUAAAAUUUGCCAGAGUGUUUAGUGAGUUGAGUCUCCUAGAAUUUGGGUCUUAUCUUGAGUGCUCUACACUUCAAGUGGCGGCUCUUCACCACUCAUCUUGGAGUCUCCUCCCCCUCCAAGUGGCGUGACCACACCUUCAUCAUCCUAAGCUUCUCUUUCCUUUCAUCUUUUUAUUUUUCUUUUCCUUUAUGUUCUUGUGUUCAUCUUUUGCUAUUCAGUUUCCAUCUUCUUUCUUUCCCUUAUAUGCUCUUUAAUUUUGCACCACAUUCAUCAUCAACACCAUAUAAUUGUGUUUUCUCUUUGUCCUCUAGAAGUGAACCUUUACACUUACUUAAUCACGUGGUUAAGUUCUUGUCCAGUGGGAAUCUUCUUUGAGUUUCUCACCAUAUUCGACUUAAAAUAAAAAACCAUAAACAAAAUGAAACACAUAAAAAUGUACAAUUCUAAAAUUAACUCACAUCAACUUUUCUCAUAAUCAUUGUUCUAGUCAUCUAUUAAAAAAAAUAAUAGUAUUAGAAAGUCAAUGCAUCAUUUUAUGUAAAAAAAUAUUAGUGUUAGUUUUUAAAAAAUAAGAAGCACUUAAGCGAAGACGAAAUUGUUUAAAGUGUCAAUCAUUUAAAUGAUAAAAAAAAAUAGGGUCUAAAGGACAUCAAUCAAGAAAGUUAGUAUUUACUUAAUGUUCAACGAGGUGCUUUAAUGUCUUCAAAUCCAAGUGGAAUGCAUGAAGAUCCUUGUUGUUGGUUGUGUGUGUCUAAAAGUAGUUGAAUUUGUUAAUUCACUCCUUGUGGUGAUCCAAGGUUAAAUGAAUCUUAAUCCUUUUGAAAAAAGAUAUGUUUUCUAAAGAAAUUGAAAAUUCAACAUGUUGAAAUGUCGAUUCAACUGGUUGUUUUACACUUAGUAGAUUUUGAAAAGGUUUUGGAAAGCUUGACUUUGUUUGAAUUUGCUAUCAAGCCAAUCGUUUGAUUCGUGAUUUCAAUAGAUUGAUUUUCUGAAAACCUUAACAAAAUUUUGUUAAGUUGUGGAAAUUUGUUUUAAAUGAUUAAAAUUGCUUUUGGUUCUUGAAUUAAAUGCUUUGACCAUCUGAUUGGAGUUUAAAUAAGUUGUUUUACGCUCCUGGUCAUUAACUAAGUAAGAGAGUUUAAUCAAAACUAAUUUUUCAAGAUUUCAAAGUGUUUUGGAUCAUUCUCAAGUGUGGAAUAGGAUAUUCAUGUAUUCUCUGUACUUUAAUCUUUGAUUGUACCUAUGUGUAUUCUAUUCCUUUAUUUCUUGAUCACUGUAAUUCUGUUUGACUUGGUGUUGUGCACUUUCAGAGGUUGUUCUGAAAAUUGUGUGUUGUUUGCCAAAGGUGGUGUGUGUUCUUGAAGGGUUCAAGAUCACCAUUUUGGUGUGUUGUUUGUAAUUAGGGUUUGAUUACUCAGUGAAUUCUUAGUGUUUUUUUAGUAUUGGAUGUAGUUCUUGGUAAAGAGUGAACGAGUAUAAACAUUUUGUUAUCCUUACUCUUUUUAAAACUACUUUAGCUUUGAUUUUAUAAAUUGCUAGUAUAAACAACCAAUUGUUUAAAAAAACAACGGUUGAUUUUCUGUAAUCAAACUAAGAACAGUUUUCUAAUUGGCUGAAAUGAUUGGUUUUCAAUCUACCUUCGAUACUUGCGAAAAUCUUUCAUAAACAAUUUAUACUCCAUCUUUUUUACGGCUUAAGUUAAAUUCAACAUACAUUUAAGAGGCAAUCAUUUAAGUGAAUUAAGACACUUAAGUGCUUUCACUUAAACAUACUUAUUUAAACAUACUUAUUCUAAUAUAAGAAGUUAUCGCUUUAAGCGCAUGAUUCUUCACACUUAAAACAAAUUUGAAAAACACGAGCUCACCAUAUCUUUCAAAGCUACCCUCAAUAACUAUAACUAUACAGAUGAAAAUUACAUUUAUUGCUAUAGUAAAUAUUUGUUAUUGAGAGAACAAAUGUAAAAUAGCAAGCAAAAACAUAAAUAAAAAAGGAGACAAGAAAAGAAAAUAUAAAAGUGAAGUGCAGGAAUGAUGAUAACAAAAGAUCACAUGAUGAAUGCCAAAGAAUCUGAAGAAAUUAUAAGUGGAGAAAGUAGAAAAGAAAGGUAUGUUAAAAAAUGAGUGGGAUAGGAAUUAUACAAGAAGGUGAGGGACGAAUAGAUGUAAAUAUGCUUGUGAUUAGGUUAACAACGAUUAAAAGGUUAAAUAUUUUUAAUUUCCGCUACUUUGAAAAGUUGGUAAAUUUUAAUAUCUUUAAGCACAUGCAACAGUAAACUUAAAGCAGGGGUUAAGUUGUGCUUAACUGAUGUCAAAACACAGAUUAAUUAAGCACUAAAGCAUGAAUUAAGUUGCACUUGCGCUUAAAUGAAGAGAUGUGCUUUACUCAUGACUUUAUGUGACUGCAUUCAAUCACACAUAUAUGCAUCAUUCUUUAUAUUUUUAUCAAAAAAAAAUUUAUUAAUGUAAAAGAGAUUUUUUAUAUAUUAUUUAAGAUAAAAAUUUAUGUACGUUAAUGGAUGUAAAUUUACGUUGGACCCGAUCUCCAUUAUGUCAAGGCACAGCACAAUAAACGUGUAUUUAUAAUAGAAAAAAAAAUUGUACAAAAUUUAUGUCGGAUAUUAUAAGAUUUUAUGUAAAUUUUUGGAUUUUUUUUAAAUUACACUGGGUUUGGCAUCAAACCAAAACCUGAAAUACAUAAAAAGUAGACAUUUUAACUAAAAAUUCUAUACUAAAUCUCUAAUCUAACUUAAAAAAAAUAUGAACAAGAAAAAAAAUCUAUACUAUCAUAAUUCACGUAUAAACAAAAUUUAAUAUUUUGAUAAAUUUUUGACAAUAUAAGUACACAUGUGUACAAAAUAAAAGUAAUUACAAAUAAUCAUGGUCAAUAUCCAAUCAAGUAAAAAUACAUUAAAUUAUAAAAUUAAAAACAUAUUAAAUUACAAUUAAGUGGAAAUACACAUUAAUAUGAAAAUGGUCGAAAAUCAAAGCCAAUGUUACAAUUAAUGUUUACUUUUAAUUCGGUCCGCGAUCCAAGUAAAAUUAUUAAGGAGCUCCUAUAAUACUGCUCACUAACAAUGGCGUUAUUUUGGUUGUCAAAUUCAACACUUCGUUGUAGUAGAAUUUAAUGUCAUUAAUAAUCAUAAGUAGUGUCACUAUGAAUGCGUAGUCCACAUAGGGAUUCACCAAGACAUUGAAGCCAUCAUUAUUCUUCAUCUACAAAGAAACACAAACUAUAUAUGUUCCUUAUUGUAUCACUAAUAUACAAACAUUGUUUCUAUAUUGAUUAAAAGGUUCACAAACAUAAAAAUAUGUUUCUAUAUCCGAUAAUGUAACUAUUAGUGAUAACUAAUAUACUCUUAUAUGAGUAGAGUUUUUAAGCUUACAUAUUUGUUCUUCUCUUUGUUUAGAGGAUCAUCAUAAUACAACUCUAUUUUUUAUCUUAUUCAUCUUUUGUAAUAUGGUAUCUAGAGCUUAUUAAGAUCUGGCCAUGAAUUUUAUUCUUUUUCUUCUAUCAUGCAUUGUAUAAAUUUUUCUAUUUCGUCCUCCUUUCAGCCUCAUACUUUUUAGCCUCCUAUAUAUUUCAAGUUGGAUGAUGACAAUUUUCUUAUAUGACAACAAGUUCUUACGACUAUCAAGGGUCCCCAAGCUCACACAAAUCUUGGAUAAUCCUAAUCCUCCUUUCAAAUACAUAUAGAAGAUGUCGUGAACAACAUUGUAAAUCCAAAAUUUCUUCAAUACAAACAACAAGGUCACAUUCUUGUUGCAUGAUUCCUUGCUUCAAUGUUUACGCUCAUUCUUACAAAGAUGGUUGAUCUAAAUUCUUCCUUCAAAAUAAGGUCCAAGUUAAGGGUGUAUUAUGCGUCUUAGAAUAAAGAAAGAAUUAAGAAACUCAAUAUUGAAUUGAGUUCACAAAAGAAAGAUAGAACCUUUAUGGCGUAUUUGUUAAACAUCAAAAAGUGUGUUGACACUCUUGUUACUAUUGGAGCAACUCUUUCCAAUGAAGAUCAUCUUGAAGCUAUUCUUGAUAGAUUACCUAAAAAUUAUGAUAGUUUUGUUACUUCAAUCAUGUCCCAUCUUGAUCCUUACAUAGUUGAAGAAGUAAAAGCUUUAUUGUUAUCUCAAAAACAAAGGUUUACCAAACAUAGAUAUGUUAUCCACACUUUGGUCCAUCUAAUGAAAACCAACUGAGCAAAUCAAUAUUUGGUGGUUCAUAUUAGAAAAAUAAUCAUUUUCAAUCUCGCAACUCUUCAUCCAGCAGGUUCUUUAAAAUUUUUCAACAUAAACAACAAAAUAGAGUUUUUUUCAUCAAUUCUUAGAACUCCUUCCAAUGUUAAUGAUCCCUUGUGGUAUCCGGAUAGUGGAACAUGCCAUUCUCUAAAUCUAAUACUACUUAUACUACUACUCUUGAAUUAUUGUUCAUUGAUAUAUGAGAUCCAUCCCCGAUUACUUCUAAUAUUGGUGCUAGAUAUGUGACUUUCUUGGAUGCUUUUUCCCAAUUCACUUGGAUAUAUUUGUUGCAUAUAAAAUCUCAAAUCUCUAUUGUCUAUACUCAGUUUAGUUUUUUUUUUUAUGAAACACAAACUAGAUAUAAGUUGAAAUCAAUUCAAACGGAUAAUGCAAGGAAUUUAAUAGUCUUGCAUCAUUUGUUAACAUAAAUGCCAUAAAACAUCAAUUAAUGUGUCCUCAUACACAUGAAUAAAAUGGAUAUAUUGAACGUCAACAUAGACAUAUCACUGAAACUGGUUUGACUCUUUUGGCUAGUGCAUCUAUGCCACGAAAAUUUUGGGAAAAGGCUUUAAUGUUGUUGUUAAUAUAAUAAACACUUUAUCCACCGUUGUUCUUAAUAAUAAAUCUCCUAAUCAUGUGUUCUUUAAAAAACAAUUGAAUUAUGCUAGUUUAGGGACUUUUGGUUGUGCUUGCUACCUUUUCUUACACCACUAUAAUAAGAACAAACUUGAUUUCGAAUUCUCUCUUUAGUUAUUUCUUGGAUAUAGUAAUCACUAUAAAAGAUAUGUUUGCCUUUCCCAAAGGUGGAUGUACCUACAUUUUUAGACACAUGGUCUUUAAUGAAAAUGCUUCCCCUUUUUCCACCAAUGCUAAGUUUUUUCUACAACACAAUUCAAAUUCGCCUAUGCUUUCCUCAACUCCUUUUCCCUUAACUAUGUUUAAAGUUGUUUUUGCCACACUUGAUAAGACCCCAGAUAUUCCCGUUACAACUCAAUCCUUGUCUUCACCUAUUCCUAAUUUCGUUGCUUUGUCUAAUCUACCUGUAACUACUCCAACAACUACUUUUGACGCUACAACCUCCUCAUCACCUUCUCACAACGUGCAUCCAAUGGUAACUCAUGCCAAAUCAUUUAUGUUCAAACCCAAACCUUACAAUGUUUCUGUUUCUGAUAACUACAUUGAACCUGCAACUUUUAAAUAAGCAAUAUGUUGGAGAUCCCACAUCGACUAGAGAUAAGGGCCUUUCAUAGUAUAUAAGUGGGUGCAAACCUCAACCUUAUGAGCCGGUUUUAUGGGGUUGAGUUAGGCUUAAAGUCCACUUUGUAAUAUGGUAUCAGAGCCAUUUCGAGCCUAUCCUAGCGAGUAUUUGUGUUGGGCCUAUCGUGCCAUUCGCUAUCGGACCACCCAAAAAUAUAUAGUCCCACGCACGAGCUUCUAUCUAUCACUCUCGGCGUGAGGGGGGUGUGUUGGAGAUCCCACAUCGACUAGAGAUAAGGGCCUUUCAUAGUAUAUAAGUGGGUGCAAACCUCAACCUUAUGAGCCGGUUUUAUGGGGUUGAGUUAGGCUUAAAGUCCACUUUGUAAUACAAUAGUUGAUCCUAACUAGUUUAAAGUAAUGUAAUUAGAACACAAUUCUCUUAUGAAAAAAAAAACUUGGACUCUCACUAACCUCUCAUAUGAUUCAAAUUUUAUUAACUGUAAAUGGGUAUACAAAACCAAGUUCAAUGCAUAUGGCAACUUCCAAAGACACAAGGCACACUUGGUUUUUAAGGAAUUCCAUCAAACACCUGGUAUUGAUUACUCUAACACAUUCAAUCCAAUUGUUAAACCAAUCACUAUUUGGAUCAUCCUUGCUCCUGCAAUGUCUUGCAAAUGAUCUAUCUACCAAGUUGAUAUCAAUAAUGAUUUUUUCCAUGGUGAUUUAAAGGAAAUUGUAUACAUGCAACAACCACUAGGAUUUAUCUCAUCAAAUACACAACAAGUUUGUAAGUUGAGCAAGACCAUUUAUGAUCUUAAAAAAACACCAACUGGGCGUUAUUUUAUAAACUUAGCCACACUCUUAUCCUGAUGGGUUUUUUUGCUAUAAAGAGUGACUUUUCCUUAUUCACGAGGUUCAAUUAUGUUUCAACUCUACUUAUGUUGAUGAUAUCAUUAUAAUUGACAAUUGUUCUAUUGCAAUAUCAUCUCUUAUUACUUUUCUGCAUACCCGAUUUGCUUUUGAAGAUCUUAGUCCUUUACUUUAUUUUGUUGGAAUAAGGAUGUUGGAUUAAAUGCUUGCCACAUGGCCAAAAGUUAUAACUUUUUCUGCUUAACCUAACCCAUCUAGCCUCCGUCAUAGAAUAAUUGAUGUCACCUGCAACAAUAUCCCCUUCAACAAUUUUCCUAAUAGGAAUCAAACCCUUUGAUUGUGACUUGGCCCAUUUGACCCGCGCCACAGGACAAUUGUGCAACUUUCAACAAUCUCCCCUUAAACAGUUGCCUCACUGUGAAUUAAACUCGUGACCUUAGUUUAGAUACCAAUUGUUGGAUUAAGCGUUUACCACUAUGUCAAAAGUUAUAACUGAUAGUCAUGGUGCAACACUUUCUACUUAAGAGCAUAACAAUUUAAACACCACAAUUCCAUUAUAACCUGACCCAUCUAGCCUCUUCCAUGGAACAAUUGAUACCACUUACAAAACAAAGGAGACCACUAUUCAUCUUUUUCAAACCAAAUACAUUGAACAACUUCUUUGUAGAGUGAACAUGUAUGAACCUUAGCCUCAACCUACUCCAAUGAUAACAUCUCUACACCUCAUUCAAGAUGGCUAAAAUCUUUCCUUCUGCAAUAUGUUACUAUUAUAAGUUCAAAAUUAACUUCUUAUAUUAAUAAAGUCUCAAUAUAUGUACCAACCUCAAUAACAUCUUUAGAAAGCCCUUAAACAUGUUCUAUGUUAUCUAGCUCGAACAAUUUAUUAUGUUCUCGUUAUUCAACCUUCCAAUAAUUUCUCAACCAUUGGGUUUACUAAUGCUAAAUGGGAAUGGGAUUGUGAUCUUGGUGAUUGAAAAUCAACAAUAGUAUACUGUAAUAUCUUAUAUCUUGGCAAAAAUGUGGUUUCAUGAUGAUCUCAUAAAGAAUGUGUUGUGCCCAAAAGUACCACAAAGGUUGAAUAUCAUAGCAUCUGCAACUCUAACUGAUAUUACUUGAAUUGUCUCCUUGUGACGUGAAUUGUGCAUUAUUGAUCAUGUUCCAAACAUAUAAUCAGAUAAUCUAAGUGUUGUCUCCUAGCAACUAAUCUAAUUUUUCAUUCUCAACCAAAACACUUUGAGUUGGAUUUUCAUUUUAUUCGUGAUCAUAUCCAACAAAAAACUUAUUAGGCUAAUUCACCUUCCAAAAAGGUUUUAAAUGGUUGACAUUCUUACCAAACAUCUCUCUCAUUUACUAAGUUUCGUGAUAAACUUCUGGUCUUUCAAAGAUCAACCAUAACUUUACUGAGGAAUGAUAAUGCAAUUUUCAGUGAUAAUGUAAUCGUUAGUGAUAACUAAUCUACAAUUAUAUUAUUAGAGUAUUUCUAUAUGCUAUAUAUUAGUUACUCCCUCUGUUUUGAUAAUUAUCAUAAUACAAUUUCGUUUUUAUCUUCUUCCUCUUUUGUAACAAUAUUUGAUACCAAUGUAGAAACUCUCCAACAUUACUAUUAAAAUAUUUAUAUAGUAAGAGUACAUACCGUGGCAACAACCGUAGGAGAUUCACCUGCAAAAACAGUGCAUGAACUUUUGUCACUUGAAAUGUUUACCCUAAAGUCACGCACACUUUCUUUUUUGUUGUUUGCAAGGAAGACAUCUAAUUUAAUCACUCCACUCUGGAGAAUUUCCGAUUUCUUCACCGAGAACAGCAAUUCGGAGGAAUCACUGCUUUGGCCCCUGAAAACUUGGCAUCGUCGGUGCAUAGUCAUGAUCUAUUAUAAGAACAUUCGUCCAUAGUUUAGUAACUAAGGUGAUUUUGUUGGAAUGUUGAAUUUGUUAGAAACGAGGAAUAGGGUAUAAAAAUGCAUGAACACAGUACAAUCCAAUUAUGCAAUCAGCCCUAAGAGGAAGUGGAAAAACUAUAAAACCAUGCGUGAAAUUAAGGUUACGAAAAAAUUAAGAAAACCGCAACUAUGAAAUAAUAAAAAAAAAAAAGCCAACUUGAUAUAUUUCAAUAAUACAACAUUGACUUUUCACCGGACAAAGUAAAAAGUAGUUAUAUAUGAUUGAGCUACGGGAAAAAACACAUUAACUUGUAACCUUGCAUUUUUUUUUGUCUAUCUCUAUUGCAAGUAAUCAUUAAAGCUGAACAAAAAGUUAUUGUUAAUGGAAAAAUAAAAAUAUUAUAUUUCAACACGUCCCCUUCAAAAUGUCUUUCAACAUUCCAAGAUUUUAUCUUAACGUAAGGCCAUUGGUUACGAUUUAUGCAAUAUGAUUCUCAAAAUUGCAAUGGUCCAAGCCUACUUUUUUUACGUAUGUGCUUGUCUAAUAAUAUCAUUUAAUUCCGUUAUAUCAAAUGACUCAUGAAAUUGAUAGGAUGAAAGGUGAAUCGAAAUGUUGGAAAGAUUAAGUCUAAAAGUUGAAGAGUAAAAAAUAUAAAUAAAUAAAUUAUAAUUGAUUAUUGUAGCAAAGUCCAUAAUAACAUUAUCUUAAUAGAAUACUAUAAAUAGGUCAUCAAUUUAAGAGGUAUGUAGAGUGAAUUUAUCUGAUAAUUAUAUAAAGUUGAAUCUGACUUUGGCAUCGGAGCGCCUUGCAAUUACACACACCCAUCCGUGAAAGGAGACCGAGAGGAGAAGCAGAGAGAUCCAGUUAAUCCAACCCAACCAAGUGAGCUUGCCAAACAAAUAAGUCCAACCUAAAGUUAAGGUAGGAGUGAACCGAAAACCCAACUCGUAAGUAGAGACCGAGAAGCCUAGAAGAUUUAAGAAGUUAACACAUUUUAAAAGAAGAACAGUUUCUAGACCCUUGUACCAAAGUUUAUGUAUACCUUUUCUGAUUGGAUUUUGAACCCUCUUAUGGUUGAAAAUCUGUUAAUCUAUUAAUGUUGUUGUUCUUCUUUUAUGUUUUGCAGGGGAAAAGGAAGGUGUACGGGUACUCAGGCUACACCCAACAGGAAUAGUUGGCUUCUUAGGAAUGUAGUCAACCAGAGUGAAGGAUAAUAUUGCUGCAUGAGUGAGUUAGUGAUGGUCUUAGAUGUAGGGGAGAUUGGGUGACAUACAAAGCAAAUGAUGAAGAAUAGCACCGAAGAAGAAAAUCUGUUGUGUGAUGAUAGUGCUUGGUACACUAGUGCAAUUUCUUUGGACCUACUCUUAUCCAGUAUGCAGAAUUAUGUUGCAGAAUAUAUGGUAGAAAUAGCAUUGGAUACUGAUAAAGAAGAAGUGUUAAGCUUGGGUAAGAGAAAUCAUAUCUUGUAAAUGCUUUUGUUUGUAAAAUUUUCUAAUGGUUCAACUCAAGGGCUACUUAGCUCUACAAGGUUGAAAGAGAAUAUUGGUGAAUAUUGAUCUCUAUUAAGGAAAUAAUAAUUAUCAAAUUAUAUGUAAUUAUUGUAUGCAAUAUUUGACGAUAUUGUACCCAAUUAUAUGCAAUUAAUUUAAUAAUUAUAGAAUCUCAUGAUUAGUAUCCUACCUAAUCAGAUUGUAAUUUGAGGGAGAGAAACUCCCUUAUAUAUUUCCUAUACAUGAAGUGAUGUAAUAUGCACAUAAGAGAAUAAGAAACAUCUCUUCUUCUUACCAUUUUUUAUCAUUUUCUUAUAUGGUAUCAGAGCACCGAUCUUGGUGCCCUGACAGCCUCUCCAUUUUUAUUCCCUAAAUAAAAAAUCAUGUAUGGCAAAGAAGUCACUAGUAACGAGUCCGAUAGAAACCUCGUACAACGCUUCAGUGCCGAGCAAAUUCAGCAAUUGGAAAAGGUUAUUUACUCGCUCAACAAUAACGGUAAAAGUGACACGUUUGUUAGCUCUGCAGAUCUGCUUGCCCAUAACUCCUCUUCUAAUUCUGCUUUUACGAAACCAUGGAUUUUGGAUAGCGGAGCAACCCAUCACAUUGCAUCUGAUUCACAAUUUUUCACACACACUUCAUCAUCAUUUAUUUCAAAUGUUAAUCUGCCCACAGGCUCAACUGCACCCAUCUCAUCUACAGACACAAUUAAAUUCAAUGACAAAAUCACUCUCAAAGAUGUUCUUUGUGUUCCUUCUUUUAAUUUAAAUCUCAUGUCCAUUAGUAAGAUAACCAGUUCACUAAAUUGUUGUGUCGUUUUUACUCCACAUGGUUGCGUUUUACAGGACUUGGCUACGGGGAGGAUGAUGGCUCGGGUAAACAACACGCAGGCUUAUACUACAUGUCCCCUCUUCCAAACCAAGCCCACACAUCUCAAAUAUCGACCGAUCCUGAUUUAUGGCACAAGCGCCUUGGACAUCCUUCUCCGGCGUGUCUACAACUUGUAUCUUCCUUACUACCUAUCCCUAUCAGUAAAAAUCUCAUUUCCAUUCAUAAUCGUUGUAGUAUUUGUCCCAAAGCUAAACAGACAAGGCUACCCUUUCCUUUAAGCACAAUAAAAUCUCAUUCUCCAUUUAAUCUAUUGCAUUGUGACAUUUGGUGUCCUCAUAAAACCCCAACUCAUUUUGGAAAACGUUUUUUUCUCACUAUAGUCGAUGACUAUACUAGAUGUACUUGGCUAUUUCUUAUGAAUCACAAAUCUGAAACCCAACAUCUCUUAGAGUCAUUCAUUACAUUUGCACAAAAUUAAUUUCAGGCAUCUAUUAAAACCAUCCGCGUUGCCAACGGAUUGGAAUUUAUUUCAAUGUAUGAUUUUUUUCUUAAAAAAGGUAUUGAAUGUCAACGCACUUGCGUUUACACUCCUCAACAAAAUGGAGUAGUAGAACGCAAACAUAGACAUGUUUUAAACACAGCACGAGCCCUCCUAUUUCAGUCCAAUUUACCAUUAGAAUUUUGGGGAGAAUGCGUUUUAACUGCCACAUAUAUCAUUAAUCGCUUGCCAUCACCUUUACUAAAAAAUAAAUCACCUUUUGAGCUACUAUAUAAUCAACCACCUUCACUUUCUCACCUAAAAACUUUUGGUUGCCUCUGUUACGCAACUGUUGUUUCACCUAAGCAAAAAUUUGAUCCGCGCGCUCGACAAUGCAUCUUCAUUAGUUAUCCUCACAGUAAAAAAACAUACAAAUUAUUUGAUAUAGAUGUAGACACUUUUUUUACAAGUCGGGAUGUCAUCUUCUAUGAAAGUGUUUUCCCAUUCCGCCAACAGUCACAGACACAAUCCUCACCUCCAUUACAAGGUAUUUUGCCCACUAUUGACAUUGACUUACCCACUCCUGUCCAACAUUCACUCGAUCAACCUUCUUCUCUUACUCAUUACAAUGCACCUGAAUCUCCAUCAAACCAACCUUCUUCUCCUACUUGUCACAAUACACCUGAACCUCCAUCAAACCAACUCUCUUCUCCUACUCGUCACAAUGCACCUGAACCUCCAUCAAACCAACCUUCUUCUCCUACUCGUCAUAAUACACCUGAACCUCCAGUAGACCAACCUUCUUCUCCCAUGCCAAGAAGUUUAGCACCCAUUACCAAACCUUCUCCAACCGACCUUCCUGUUCGACGAUCCAGUCGCACAUCAACCCAACCUUCCUGGCUUCAAGACUACGUAACGGGAUCCCAAGCCAAUCAUUCGACCACUGCCCAAGACCGACCGAAUGGAACCAGGUAUCCUAUGAAUCAUUUUCUUUCUAAUUCACGAUUUUCUUCUACACAUAGUGCAUAUCUUGCUAACAUCACAGCCACCAAAGAACCUCACACUUAUGCUAAAGCUAUCCUUGAUCCAAAUUGGCAAAAAGCAAUGGACGAAGAGCUUUCCGCCUUGCAGCUAAAUCAAACGUGGACCUUGACACCGUUACCCGCUGGGCAGAAACCCAUUGGAUGCAAAUGGGUCUAUAAAAUAAAGUACAACUCAUAUGGUAGCAUCGACAGAUAUAAGGCGCGCCUUGUCGCAAAGGGGUACACUCAGAUUGAAGGUGUCGACUAUUCUGAAACUUUUUCACCUACAACAAAAUUAACAACUUUGAGGUGUCUCCUCACCAUUGCAGCAGCCAUAAAUUGGUUUACUCACCAGCUAGAUGUGUAAAAUGCCUUCUUACAUGGCACAUUGCAUGAAAUUAUUUACAUGGACUUGCCACCCGGCAUCAUCGACAGGGGGAGAACAUUGUAUGUCGACACAAAAAAUCCCUUUAUGGUCUCAAACAAGCAUCUCGAACAUGGUUUUCAACAUUUUCUCAUGUGAUUAAAUCUGUAGGAUUUCAACAGUCCAAGACAGAUUACUCUCUAUUCACAAGACAGAAUAACUCAUCAUUUACUGCCCUUUUGAUUUAUGUGGAUGAUAUUCUUUUGACAGGGAAUGAUUUGACCGAAAUUCAGUGUGUUAAAGAUUGUUUAUUACAACAAUUUCGCAUUAAAGAUCUUGGAGACCUAAAAUAUUUUCUAGGGAUUGAAUUUUCCCGUUCCAAAGCUGGUAUACACAUGUCCCAAAGAAAAUAUGCACUUGAUAUUUUGCAGGAUACGGGACUCACAGGUGCUCGUCCAGACAAAUUUCCAAUGGAACAAUACCUAAAACUCACACCAGACGAUGGAGAGUUAUUAAAGGAUCCAGUCAAAUACAGGCGACUCGUGGGACGACUGAUAUACCUCACGAUUACUAGACCUGACAUAGCAUUUUCGGUUCGGACCCUAAGUCAAUAUAUACAGGAUCCACAGAAACCUCAUUGGGAUGCUGCAAUUCGAGUCCUAAAGUAUCAAAGUAUCACCAGGACAAGGAUUGCUAUUGCCAUCCGAAAACAAUUUGACAUUGACAGCUUAUUGCGACUCAGACUGGGGAGGUUUUCAGACAACUCAGAGAUCAGUAUCUGGAUAUUGCAUUUUUCUUGGUUCCUCUAUUAUCUCAUGGAAGUAAAAAAAAACAGACAAACGUAUCAAGAUCAUCAGCGGAAGCAAAAUACCGCGCAAUGGCCAAUACUUGUUUGGAGAUAGUUUGGUUGCGAUAUCUGUUGCAGGAUUUAAAGGUGCCAUGUAACUUGCCAGCUUAACUUUUCUUUGACAAUCAAGCGGCAUUACAUAUAGCAACAAAACCAGUAUUUCAUGAACGCACAAAACACAUUGAGAUAGACUGCCACAUUGUGCGAGAAAAAUUACAAGUUGGGAUAAUCAGUCCUUCAUAUGUGCCGACACAGUAUCAGCUCGCAGAUAUUUUUACGAAGGCAUUGGGCCAGGAACGAUUUUUGACGCUACGACACAAGUUGGGGUUCUUGAUCUUCACUACCAACUUGAGGGGAGUAUUAAGGAAAUAAUAAUUAUCAAAUUAUAUGCAAUUAUUGAAUGCAAUAUUUGACGAUAUUGUACCCAAUUAUAUGCAAUUAAUUUAAUAAUUAUAGAAUCUCAUUAUUAGUAUCCUACCUAAUUAGAUUGUAAUUUGAGGGAGAGAAACCCCUAUAUAUUUCCUAUACAUGAAGUGAUGUAAUAUACACAUAAGAGAAUAAGAAACAUCUCUUCUUUUUAAGUUAUUUUGCUGAAUAUGUUUGGUAUUAAUGAUGGAAGAUCCUUAUUUUUUCUUCUGUAAUUUUUCUUUAUGGAUAUUGCAAGAGCUUUUAUUAGGAUUAUUUUUGUGCAGUAGUUUUUGUAUAAGAGUUAAAGUAUAAUACCUCUAUUUAUUUACUGUUUGUGCUAAUAAAAAAAAACCUCCAAAAAUGGUAAAACUAUGAAGCCCUUUGUUGAGCAAAGCAAAAGAUAAUCAUAACCAUACCAAGAGAAGAAACAUCGUUAACUUAUAAUUAGAAACAUGUUUUUCUGAAUCGUAAACAAACUUUUAAUCAAUAUUAUAAGCAACCUAAAAAAUUAAGCAGAUAUUUAAUAUCAAAGAUAAAAUGGAAAUCUGAAAUUGUAACAGAAUCGAUAAGGCUAUAAUCGAGUAAUUUGAUGUGGGAAGUGAAGGAGUAUAAUUGGUCAGAGUAGCCAAACCUUCUUGUACAGAGUGAGGAUGGGUUUUCCAGCAUCAUCAUACAAGACACGACGGUCGUGAACUGUUAAAAGGGGACGUUUGAUAUAAAAACGAAGGCGACCAUUUGCGUCGUAAGUGGCACCUUUCUCAGUGUUAAUUUGAAGAUUGAUAGUGUAAGGAGCACAGUAGGAACUGUUGAUAACUUGGAAUGGAUUUUCCAUUGGCGAGGGAGACACAGUAUUCUGAGCUGUAUAUGAUUGAUGGAGCAACCUACGAAACCACUGACUUAUGUUCACGCUGUUAUUGCAAUGUAUGGUAUCCAUGGAUACACGCCUUAAACACGGGACUUAGUCAAACUUUAAACUGAGGCGAAAUGUCAAAUAGGUUAAAUUUUAUGAAACAAGUACGUGCGUGACGUAUGGUAGGUAGUGAAUUAGAGUUAGAAGUAGAAGAAGACUUUAGUUGACUCCAUAGUUAAAACACGGAUAUGAACAUUCCGCAAACUCGAUACCAUGCAACUCAGUCAUUUAAUAGCUUUCAUUACUGGACCCACCAUGCACCAAGGUUUUGUUUUUUCUUAUCAUCAGCUACCUUACCUAUCAGUAUUAAUUGCAAAAAUUAUUAUUAUGAUUUAAGACUUUGUUAGAAAACUAUUUCUGGUAAUUAAUUAUAAAAUUAAUAUAAUUGAUUGUCAGUUUUCUUCUCUUCCGUCAAGAUAUUUUCGUUUUCGCUCUAAUUUUUUUUCUGUCUUUCUCUCAUUUACUAUUUUCUUUUCAUUUUCUUUUAUAUUUUUCUAAAAUACAUUAUAGUAGAUCAGAGAAUAAGAUAAUGAGAUUUCACUUUUCAUUUGUUUUUUCAACUGAUGAACAAUAUGAUUUAAUAACGCCUUAAUAUGACCAUUUGAAUUUACCUGUCAUGAGUCAAAUAAUGAUAAAUUUUUUAAAAAAAAGUGUCUUUUGUAGUGCAAAAUGUGCCAAUUACUCACCAUUUUGACAUUAAAUGUCGAAAUAUACAAUUUUAAAAAAAUGUGGUAAUAUUUUUGUAAAUACUUCAAAUAUAUUUACAUCAAACGUAGUAAGAUUCAACGUAAACAUUCAUUUUUAUGUCAGACAUGUUAAUGUUAAGAUCCAAUAUAAAUAUCCAUGUUUAUGUCAUACGUCAUAUCAUUCAAAUAGAAAAAGUUAUCAUAGUAAGUUUAAUCAAAUUAACAAAGCACUACUAUCACUCUUAAUAAAAGAAAAAAGAUAGUCAAUAUUAGAGAAAUGGGAACUAAGAAAAAUUUGUUGAAUCCAACUUCAAAUAUGCAAAACAUUAAGACAUUCAAAAAAAUAAAUGUUGAAUAGAUUCUUCCUGUUUUUCACACAACAUACACAUAGAACAUAUAUAUGCAAAUCCCUAUGUUGAAUAUGUUGAUCUUUAGGAAGUCAUCAAUUAAAAACUUUUCAGAAUACUAAAAUUUUAGAAGAAAGAAUAUAUGGAUAGCAAAUGAGUUUUUAAUGACGUGGUAAAAAUUAACGAGGUUCCAAAGUAAUUAUUUAUAUAAUAUUAUUAUUUUUAUUUCUUUUCAGUUGCAUAAUCACAUUUGUUACUAAUAUAUAAAUCAACUCAAUUUUUCUCAAUCUAAAUAAUUUCAUUUUCUAUUUUUUUUCUCAUUCUUUCUUAUCGGUUAUGUAUUUUUAAUGACAUAAUUAACCUCAUGUAAUAACGAGGAUGACGGCUUAAUAAUUGUCAGUCACAAUUUUUCGGUAAAUAAAGGCAUUAUAGAUUAAAAACAUUGGUAUUAAUCCUUUUAUAAAAAAAAAAUUAAAUCAAAUAAAUUUUAAUGAUGUUCUCUAAGAUCUAACCGCUCCUUAUCCUCAACAAAAAAAUGACUUACGACACAAUACAAUAAUUUUUUUAUAAGCAUCAUCUUUAAUUCUCAUUCUCAGAUCAAUUCGAAAAUUGACAUUUAUUUUUUAUCAAAUUAUAUAUGUUUUUAAUGACUAGUGGGUAUGUUUUUUAAUCAUUUAUCAAUAUUAAUAUGUUUUUUUAUUAGUAAAUAAUAGAAUAAAAUAAAUUAGAAGAAUGUCCCAGUACCAACCUGCACCUAAUAUGUCUGAAGAAUAUAGUUUAUCAAAUACUUGGAUUUUAUGUCACCGAAUUGGUUUGGAGAGACUGAAAACACCAAGUUCAUGGUACUCCAAUAGAGGGACCAAAAGUGUAUGUGGUUGAAGUGUAGACCAAAAACAAAUAACCUCUGAAGUCAAGUCUUCUCCGCGUUUUCUUGUUUUCCACAUCCACCGUUAAAAUUUUAGAUUAUUGUUUCAAAUUUAUAAAAUCAUAAUUUUUAGAAUUAUAGGAAAAGUUAUAUAUUUAUCUCCAAUAUUAAAUUAUAGGAUUGAAAAAUAAGAAAUUGUUUGGAAUUUUAAUAAACCACUAGAAAAAUGUAUAAGUAAUUAUUUAAAUAAUAUAAAGUAUAGGAUUAAAUCAUUUAAAAUUAUUUUAGUUAAACAUGUUUAGUUUUUUUUAUCAACAAAUAAUAUACAAUAAAUUAAAAUAAAGUCUUUAAGGAAUACUCUAACUUAUAUAAAAAAUAGACUAAAAAUCCUUACAAGAAGUCCAAAAACCGAGUAAUCAGUAAAAAAGAUCUUAAAAACACCAUCAAAUCAAUCUAAUUGCUGUGUUUGCUGUGCCAAAACAGAAGCACCACAACAUAACCUUGUUGUGACUUGGUUUAUUGCAUGAUAUACGAGAGACUCCCAUCCAUCAUUGUGGUAACUCCUACUUAUUAAUUUGUCCUUAUAGAUUAAUUUAUGUGCUUUAUUCUGUUAUAAUUUUAUUUUAUGUAAAUCCUAAAUCCUAAAUCUUAAAUCCUAAUCUUAAUUGAUGUGCUUUAUUUUUUGUUGUUAUAAUUUUAUUUAUAUUUAUUUUUUUAUUCAUGCAUAUAUAUUGAGCAAACUUUCAAUUAAUUAUUUACAUUAAGUUAUUGAACUAUUUGAAAAAAAUAUUUUACAUUUGUUAAGAUGUACAGAUUAAAUCUAACUUUGGAAAAAAAUUAAACCAUUUAUUUUAUUCUUUUUAUAUACAUUUAUUUUAUCAACAAGUAAAGCAAAUAAAGUUUUAUAUAAAAAAAUUAUAAUCAAAUUCUUAUAUACAAAUUCUCUUAAUCUUCAUAAAAAACACAUAUCAGCCGGAUAAAACACUACUACAAAAAAAAUCAGUAUUAUGUACGGAUUUUUAUCAACGGAUAUGAGUCCGUAGGUAAAUUCAGCAUUACCUACGGAUAUUACCUACGAACAACAUUACCUACCGACAUUAUCCACAGAUUCUGAAUCCGUAGGUAAAUUCAACAUUACCUACCAACUAUUAUCCACGGAUCUUAUUACCUAUCAACUUUUACCUACGGAUCUCUAUUACUUACCAACUAUUACUCACGAAUCUCUAUUACGUACGAACUAUCACCCAUAAAUUUCUAUUACCUACCAACUAUUGUCAUAAUAAUUAUACACAUAAUAUUAAAAAUAUUAAUAUAAUAUGAAGAAUUAUAAAAUCAUAAUUCAUAUUCAUAAAAAAUAAUAAUCAUAACUAAUUUAUACAUAUUAUUAAUAUUAUAAAAUUAAUAAUAUUAAUAUAAUAUUAAUAAUAUUAAAUAAUAUUAAUAAUAUUAAUAAUAUUAAUAAUAUUUAAUCAUAUUUAAUCAUAUUAAUAAUAUUAAUAUAAUAUUAAUAAUAUUAAUAAUAUUAAUAAUUAUUUAAUAAUAUUCAUAAUAUUUUAUAAUAUUAAUAAUGUAUACCUAUAUAUAAAGGGGAUUCUCUCUUUAACUGCUCUCAAAUUCUUCCUAUUUUAUCCUUAUAUUUAUAUUUAGUUUUAUUUCAUUAUUUUGGGUAUUGCGUCAUUUCCUUCUUUUUAAAAAUAUUUGAAAUAAAUGGAGGAGCGGUUUUGAAUUAAAAGAGAUGGUUUAUAUUUUGAAAAUGAAUUGCUACAAAAAGAGGGAGUGUCUGUUAAGAUUAUGGGAGAGAAAUAAAUUUAAAAAUUAUUUGAAAUAAAUCGAGCAACUGUUUUGAAUUUAAAGAGAUAAUUUAUUUUGAAAAUUAACUGCAUAAUGAGAGGAGUGUCUGUUUGAUGAGAGAGAAAUAAAUAUUAGGAAAGGUGAGUAAUGAGUAGUGGCCGAACGUGAGCAAUUUUGAAAAUUCUUGAGUAUAUUGACAUUUUGUCAUUUUCCAUUAUUACUGAGCGGUUACAUAGGAGUAGUGGGUUUCAGGAGUUUUCACCGGUUACAUCCACUUCAUUUUCUCUUUUAUAUUUCGACUCCAAAGAAAAAAAUUCUCAUAAAUUUUGACACAUCUUGAACCCUCUUCCUUCACGCUCCGUGUUCUUCUCCUACUCUCACCCAUCUCACGUCCACUACAUCCAUUCCGCCUUUUCAUCGGCCUCCACUCUUUCAAAAUGCUCUCUAAGCACAAAAGAAGUCUAUAUAAUUUUGAUUAUUUAAUUGUUGGAAGAGCAAGUGGAGACGGAAGAAGUAGAAAAUGGAUAAGCUGAUCUAGGUGAAGGAGAAUCAACUAUUCUUCCCAAUCUUUUGCGACCCCUUUCACUAAUCUCAACUAGGUUGAUUCUGAUCUCGCUUGCUUGAACCCUCCAGGAGCAGGUUUCACUUUUAUUCUUUUUUUUCUCAUUCUACUAUAUUCCUUCAUCUUUACUCCCUUUAAUUGGGGAAAAAUGAUUAUUAACGUAACACUAAUUUGUUUGUUUGUUUAUUCAUGUGUUUUGUUUGAGUUUUGGUGGGAUUUUUUUUUUUCAGUGUAUGCAAGGUAAAACAAUUAUUUUGAUAUUUAGUAGUUUUUUUUUGGAUGAGUUUAGAGAGAAUGUCUCCAUUAGAACUGUAAUCACUUUUGUUGUCAUAUUAAAUCAUUAUUAUUAUCUUAUUUUAUAUUUAGUAUUAGAUCAAUCAUGGGGUUUCACUUAUUCAUAUAGUUGUUUUUUCAAUAAUGUUUGCAUAAGUGUUUUUUCUUUUAUAGUAAUGUAAUUGUAUAUCUGGAAAAUUAUGUUUGAUUGUAAUUCACCAUUAAUUAGUAUCUUUUGUCUUCCAGGUGUUAGGCAUGAUGGUUGAUAUUUCUAUAUAUUCGAUGUACAAUUUGGAAACAAAGCCUCACAAGGAAACUUCCUGCUUCUAAAACACGGGCUACUAAUGAUGAAGCAUCUGAAGAACCGGUGAUUGACCAUUCUAACAAUGUUGAGAAAAAAAAAUCUAACAAUGUUGAGACCCUCACAAAGUAGUGUUAACAAUGAGGCACCAUCAACCACUGUUGAUUAAUGUAUUUUCAUAUUCGUGGAAUGUUUGGAAAUAAAAGUAUUCCACAAUAAUAGUAUUCUUUUCUUUUAAUUCUCAUGAUUUUGAAUCUCAUACUUUUUUGUUAAUAUUGGAAAAAAGUUGAAUUUCCAUGUUAUUCUAAAGUUUGCAGAAAAUAUUGUUGGCUAACUCUGUCUCAUCGGAUUUUAUAUUUUAUUUUAUUUUAUUCUCGACUACAAUUUUUAGUUUUUGUUUAUAUUAAUUUUAUAACAAUAAAAUAUAAAGAGAUUAUAUCAGUUUUAGUUAUGCAAAGACUAAUAUUUAUUUAAUUAUUAAAGAGUGUAUUUAGGAUAGCAAAAUGUGAAAAAAAUUGAAUAAUAACAAUUAGGACAUAUAUAAUAAUUUAAAGAAAUAUUAUAUAACUAUUCCUAAUUAAUUUUAUAUAAAUAAUCCUAAUUAAUUUAUUUUACAUUCAAUUAUUUUUAAUUUUUAAAAGAUUAAUGUGGUAUAAACAUUCAAAAUCUUAACCAUGGAAGAUGAAAAAUAUAUAAGAAAAGAAAAAAAAUCAUAAAAUUAGUUAAUAGUUUUACAAUUUUAAUAUAUUUUUUUAAAGAAAUUAUUAUAAAAUUAAGCACUUUUAAUUUAUAACAAUUUAUUAUUUAAUUUUAAUAUAUUUUAAUUUUAGUGUUAUUUAUAUUUUAACAAUCUUAUGUUUGCCACUUGAAUUUAAUACAGAAAUACCGUUUAAAUUAUUAUUAACUAACUUAGUUUUUUUUACUGUAAUUUUAUUAAAAAAUAGUAUUAAAAUAUUAUAUAACCUUAUUUACAAAAUAAAUUAUUUAGUUAUUUUAAAAUAAUGAAAAAUUAUUUGAUUGUUUAUUUUAAAUUAAAUAAAUAAAUUAUAUUUUAUUUACAUAAAGAUUUUUUUGUAUAAAUAUAAUACUAUUUAAAUAAAAUUUUAUUUUUUUUAAACAAAUAAUUGUAUAUACAGUUUUUUUUAUUAAAAUUUCAAGUAAAUCCAAUCUGCUUAAAUGAAUCUUUCGCAUAUCUUUUCAUAUCUUUAUUAUAUUAAAAAAUAUAUAAUUUUAAUAUGUUAAUUUUAAAAUUUAAUUGUUUUAUGUUUUCGUAUUUUUAUUAUAUUAAAGUACAUAUAACUUUACUAUGUUAUUUUUAUAAUUUAAUUUUUUUAUGUUUUCAUAUUUUUAUUAUAUUAAAGUAUAUGUAACUUUAAUAUAUGUUAUUUAUACUUCUAUACCUAUAUAGGGAUUCCCCACUUAACUGACAUUUUAUUUUAUUUCAAUUUUAUCUUUAUAUUUUUAUUUUAUUUUAUUAUUUUAUAAAUAUAUGAUCGAAGAUAUUUUUGUGAGUAGUUUUAAUUUUAUAUCUUAAAGUGAGACUAACAGAAUAGAUAAAAUUAUUUUUAAAUUCAAAAUUAAACAUUGCAAAGUGAGACUUGCUUAGGAGCAUUGCACAAUUGCAUCUUUUUUCGUUCAUCUACAUUUUUAUCCCCAUGAAACGUUUUUUUCGUUUUCAGAAGUUAUAUUAUCAUUCCAAAACCACGAAAUCAACCAAUACGUAUUGUUUUUCAAUUAUAAAAUAGAAGAUGGAUAUGCAAUGUGUGAAUUUACUUUUUUUUUUUAAUGCAAUGUGUGAAUUUACUCUUUUUUUUAAAAUUUAUUUAUGCAUAUGGGUGCACUGUCCAUUCUUGAAUUUUCCAAAGAUUGAAAAUACAAAGAGAGGAUAGGAAGAGAAUACAGGUGUUGCAGUUGAAUGAAGAUAUCAACACAAAGCAUUUACACAUUUAUCUACACAAACAUGUAUUUAUUAAUAUAUGUAUAUUGCAUAUAUAUAUAUAUAUAUAUAUAUGUCUGUGUGUAUUUUGCAAUUUAUUCAUAAUUGACAUUCUUUAGUAGGAAUAAAAUUUGUAAAACAAUGGAACACUUAGAAGGAUGAUCGAACACUCGCAUUGAUUACGCCAAUUAACACCAAAGUAUAAUGAUUUUACAUAAUGAUGAUGAUAAUGAUAUUUUUUAUUCAUAAUAUACUAUAAAUUUAUAUUGUUAAUAUAAGUGUGUAAAUAAUAACAUUAUUUAUUUGAAUUUUUAAUAUUAAACAUAUAUAUAUAUAUAAAUGAUAAAAAUAAAAAAUGCGGAUACACAGGCGUGAGAGCACCUGUGUGCCCGCUAGUAUUUUAUAAUAUUAAUAAUAUUAAUAAUAAUAGGAAUAUUUAAUAAUAUUAAGAAUAUUUAAUAAUAUUUAAUAAUAUUAAUAAUAUUAAUAAUAAUGAUGAUAUUAAAUAUAUGAAGAAUAUUAUUAAUUUUUAUUUUAUUAAUUAAUAAUAUUGAUAAUUAUACUAAUAAGUAUAAUAAUAAUCAUAACUUGAUAAUAAAACUUGAUUGGUGUAAUGGGUAAAACUUUUAUGAACAUUUUUCAAGGGACUUGACUUUUAAUUCUAACAUUAAUUAUAAUUCUCAAUAAUAAUCAUAAAAUUUGGAAAAAAAAUAAUAUUUGUUUUAAAAAUAAAGUAUACUUUGAGUCAGUGGGUGGGUUCUUUCUAUAAACUUUUCACUAAUUAUUUCUUCUGUAGACUUUUUGCUGAUAAAAAAAUUUGUCUCUAUGUGAUUUUUUUUUAUAAGUAAAGUUAUCUCUAUGUACAUACUUAAUUGUGGUAGGGAUACUUAGUUGUUGUAUUAUUUGUGACCUUUUAUUUAAUAAUGCUGUCAAGAUGUUGCAAGUGGGGAUUGGUAUUGAACUUGAAUUAUUUGUUUUAUNNNNNNNNNNNNNNNNNNNNNNNNNNNNNNNNNNNNNNNNNNNNNNNNNNNNNNNNNNNNNNNNNNNNNNNNNNNNNNNNNNNNNNNNNNNNNNNNNNNNAUGAUCGUCUCUUUUAUACUGACGAUACUUUUUUCACACUCCACAACCGUCGUGUCUUAUAUGAUGAUGCAGAAAACCCCAUCGUCACUCUAUACAAUAAGGUUUGGUUGCUCAUGCAUCUAGCAAUACUCAUUCUCAAGUUAAUAAGUUUUAUUACUUUAAUAUUUUCCCACCUACAAAACUAAUCUCUGCUUAAAUUUUUCAUUCUAGCCACUAACCUAACCAUGGUGUUAUUAUUCUCAAUUUUUAUGCAGAUGGUGUCGUUGCAUGGCAGAUGCAAAGUUUUCAGGGGUGAAAGCACUGAUUCAUCUGAAUUGCUAUUUUUGGUGAAGAAAAUCGCGAAAUCACCUGGGAUUACUAAAUUAAACGUGUUCCUCGCAAACAACCAAGGCAAAAAGAACAAAAAAAGUGACUUUAGAGUGAUCAUUUUUGGAAGUAAAAGGUCGUGCACUGUUUAUGCCGGUGAAUCUCCUAACAUCGUAGCCAAAGUAUGAGUACUGAGUUAGUAUAUCUUUCUAUUUAUAUUGGUAAUUCUUUGUUUUUUUAAUAAGUAGUAGAAUUUAAAUAUAUUAUGAUAAUUAUAUAUGUAUGUUUCUCUCUAUGUAGAUGGAGAAUAAUGGUGGCUUCAAUGUCUUGGUCAAUCCCAAUGUGGACUACGCAUUCAUAGUAGCGCUACUUAUGAUUGUUAAGGACAUGAAUUGUUGUGAUGAGCCCCUGAAUACUACAAAUAAAACUAUUAGUGCCCUAAAAAUAAUUUCAUCUUUAUCAAGCAGCUAAAUAAAUAUAUUGUAUAAGAAAAUAUAAGUAAAAGUGAGGAAAUAAAUUUGGAGUCCUCCCUAAUGUACUUAUAUAGAUGUCUGUUGUAUUAUGUUGUAUAUGGCUAUUUCUUUAUCUUUUAUUAUAUCAAUGACAGCAAAGUUAAUGGUACCUUAUAUAGAUCCGAAAUGUGUG